AAGAUAAGGCUGUCAGAAUACUCAAACACCACACAGGAAUCAGGCAAGUAAGGUCAAAUAAAUUGAUUAAUAUGUUAAGAGUAGAAAUGUACAGCAGGUAAUUAUAAUUAGGUAAGCUAUGACAAGAGGUAGCAAAUUUUAAGAGUAUUAAGAAAUUGUCUUUUUGCAAAAGAUGGAGACUAUUAUGGAAACCCACAGUCAAUCAGUACCAACUGAUACUUCUACAAAAUACUCUCUCAACAAAAGCUCUGAGAACAUUGUGGAAGAGGAAGCAGAAAGAUUACAGGAACCAGACGAUCAGGAGUUUUUGGUAAGAUUGUGUCUCCUAGUACUGUCCAAAGCUACACCCACAGAGUAUCAGUAUUAUAGCCCAAACGUCGGUUAAAUAAGGGCAUCGGUGAUGAGCAUGCCAAGUAGACAGAGAAAUGGGUCUCUACUGUACACAAGGAGCCACAGGCAACUAAGAAAAGCUAGAAAUGGAGAAGGGCUUUCUUUCCUGAAAAGACCUCACCAAUUGGUUUUCCAGGGCCAAAAAGCCAGUCUUGAGGCUUACAUACCAGUAGCAUUUACCUACAUUUCUACAAUAAUGACUAAUGAAAAA
rnacentral:lncRNA from 1 species